rnacentral:ncRNA from 1 species
UUAAAUGUAAUGAAAAGGAAAAGUAGAUAUAUAUUUGAUGCAAAGAGAAAGAAUGGUUGGUGUGAAUUCUUGUGAUUAAUAUAUUGAAUGUAGCCUUGGAACUUUUAAAGGAAAUCGUUUAGAGAGUAGAAUUAAACGGAUGCCUACCGUUAAAAAGGCAAUAAUAUCGAUAAAUAGUUAUCUGUAUUAUAUUAAAGUGUGUAUUUCUCAAUACAAAUUUAGGUGGUACCGCGGUGAUUCGUUCUUCGUCCUAUAC